AUCAGCUCGCGCAGCUUCUCCCCGGCCAGCAGCGCCGUCGCCAUGUCCGCGGACUGCUCCAGGAGGGGUUUGUGGUUUUCUUUGCCACAUCACGAAGGCAGCCCGGUGCCCCUCCAGGAGCAGGAGGCCGUGACCCCCCACUCGUUCUUCUGUGGACUCCAGCAGACGCGUUGAAAUGAGCUUCGUUUCUGCGUUGAGGUGAAUUGGUUGGUGAUCGGCGACAUGAGGAUUUCAGGAGGCGACUGGGCCACAUCGCAAGCCCUGCCACCCCCACAGGUGGCGUUACUCACCCAGCGGUCACACCUUGAGCUGCAAGACCAUGCGUGGAGAUGGGGAUACUUAGGAUGUGCUGGGAAUGAAGAGUUUGAAACGAUGAGAAGAAAAAUGGUAGCGCCCUGGGCCGCCUCUGCCAGCGCGCCUCCCUCUGCUUCCCGGAUCACCCUGCUUUCGUCGUGUGUGGGUGGCUGAGUUUCUAAGGCGCUCCCACAGUCGGCACCCCACCCUGGAGAGGCUUCCCCGCGCUAGGAAAGGGCCUCCGGCACUUUCUACAGGGAGAUACCAAGAACCCGACAGACAUCGGGCGGCUUCGGACACACCGCCACCCCGCCAAGAGCAGGAGC